GCACAUGCGCUUUACAGGCUGUUGUGUCCAUGUGUAGGCGAAUCACGUGGGGAGAAUCCGUUGAUCGUCUUGUCCCUGCUGUAGGAGUUGCUCCGUUCUUGAUUUCAUUUUGGUUGCUACCUCGCUUUGUUUUUAAACACUCCCCCCCUCAUACAUUUCACCGAAGAAUGAGCGACAACGAAGAUAUCGAUGUUGACAGUGACGCUGACAAACGAGCACAUCACAAUGCGCUGGAGCGCAAACGUAGGGACCACAUUAAAGACAGCUUCAGCAGUUUACGGGACUCUGUGCCUGUGUUACAAGGGGAGAAGCAAUCUGUCAAACAGGCUUCCCGAGCUCAGAUCCUAGACAAAGCCACAGACUACAUCCAGUACAUGAGACGAAAAAACCACACACACCAGCAGGACAUUGACGACCUGAAGAAGCAGAAUGCAAUGCUAGAGCAGCAGGGUGAGUGUGGGCUCAAGGCCCAGGGACAACUGCAGGUGCAGGAGGUCCGUGCACUGGAGAAGGCCAAAGGGAACACUACUCUCCAGGCCAACUACUCUUCCUCUGACAGCAGCUGGUACACCAACCCCAAGGGGAGCACAGUGUCUGCCUUCGACGGAGGCUCCGACUCCAGCUCUGAAUCAGAGACAGAGGAGCCGGCCAAUAGAAAGAAGCUGCGUGUGGAGCCCAUCUAGACUCCAUCCACAGUGUUAUCACCAGAGAGACUCUUAUCCACCAGCCCCCUCCUGUUGAGUCUGUUUCCAUUCUUCUCAUGCCAGUCCAGGAGACAGAGGGAAGACCAUGUGAGAAAGUGUAUUGUCACGCCUCAUGGUGCACCAACAGCUCUCAACACCCCCAAAGUGAGACAGCUCUGCAGUUUGAAGGACUUGAUGCUUUUAAAACAUCAUUGUUCAGAAUCGGAUAUAAAGGUGAGCUGGUGAACAGCUUUAGUCUAGCUACAACAAAUACUCCCAUCUCUCGCUUUGAAUCACCUCAAUGAACCUGUUCGAAGAGUUGAGACUUACACAGACCUUUGAGAAAAUGUCCGUAGGAAUAGUUUACCUUUUUAAUAUUUGUACUUUUCCACAAAAUAAUGCGAAGUUGCUUUGAAAAAAAAAUGUAUCUAAUGCAAUCUUCUGGAAUCAAGGUGGAUGGCUGAAGUCUUUAAAUAUAGGGAUUUGAAUACACAUAUUUCAAAGUGAUAUGUUGAAAUUGAUUUCUUAUUCCAUAUUGUACAUUUUUGUUCAACUUUACCACUUGUCAAUGGAGAUGUUCAUCCUCCAUCAGUGUUGGCAUCAUUUAAUAUAUUCUCACCUCACAGGUUCAGCAAUGUUUUUAUUUUGUUAUUCUCAAGAAAAUGGAGAUUACAUUUUUAUUUUUUCGAAAUGGAUAAAUACUUAAUGUUACACAAUGCAGUUAAAAGGUAGUAACCUUUUUAUUUGUAUUAAAGGAAAAGGCCAUAUCAGUGUAGUGAAUAUUACUGUAUACUUGUAAAUGUUGUCCAUUCUACAAAGAAAAACCCCUCAAAAUAUUUGUCUGUCCAGGGAAUGUUUGUCAUUUAGAUUUUUUAUUUUACAGAUAAUUAGUGUGUAAGAAUCUAGAUUUUUUUAUUUUAUUGAUAUUACAGGUGUUGUAAGUACUGCCAACAAUUUUUGGAAGUUGAGGCAUACCUUUGCUGAGGAACUAUUAUAAAUAAAACUAUUUUAUCCAG